GCGGAGGAAAAGAAACCAACAGGGAUUGCCCUAGUAACGGCGAGUGAAGCGGCAACAGCUCAAAUUUGAAAUCUGGCUUCGGCCCGAGUUGUAAUUUGUAGAGGAAGCUUUUGGUGAGGCACCUUCUGAGUCCCCUGGAACGGGGCGCCAUAGAGGGUGAGAGCCCCGUAUAGUCGGAUGCCGAUCCAAUGUAAAGCUCCUUCGACGAGUCGAGUAGUUUGGGAAUGCUGCUCAAAAUGGGAGGUAAAUUUCUUCUAAAGCUAAAUACCGGCCAGAGACCGAUAGCGCACAAGUAGAGUGAUCGAAAGAUGAAAAGCACUUUGAAAAGAGGGUUAAAUAGCACGUGAAAUUGUUGAAAGGGAAGCGUUUGUGACCAGACUUGCGCCGUUCCGAUCAUCCGGUGUUCUCACCGGUGCACUCGGGGCGGCUCAGGCCAGCAUCGGUUUUGGCGGGGGGAUAAAGGUUCGGGGAACGUAGCUCCUCCGGGAGUGUUAUAGCCCCGGGCGUAAUGCCCUCGCCGGGACCGAGGUUCGCGCAUCUGCAAGGAUGCUGGCGUAAUGGUCAUCAACGACCCGUCUUG
rnacentral:rRNA from 1 species